rnacentral:rRNA from 1 species
GGUUAAGCGACUAAGCGUACACGGUGGAUGCCCUGGCAGUCAGAGGCGAUGAAGGGCGUGCUAAUCUGCGAUAAGCGCCGGUAAGGUGAUAUGAACCGUUAUAACCGGCGAUACCCGAAUGGGGAAACCCAGUGUGACUCGUCACACUAUCAUUAACUGAAUCCAUAGGUUAAUGAGGCGAACCGGGGGAACUGAAACAUCUAAGUACCCCGAGGAAAAGAAAUCAACCGAGAUUCCCCCAGUAGCGGCGAGCGAACGGGGAGGAGCCCAGAGCCUGAAUCAGCAUGUGUGUUAGUGGAAGCGUCUGGAAAGGCGCGCGAUACAGGGUGACAGCCCCGUACACAAAAGCGCAUGUGCUGUGAGCUCGAUGAGUAGGGCGGGACACGUGGUAUCCUGUCUGAAUAUGGGGGGACCAUCCUCCAAGGCUAAAUACUCCUGACUGACCGAUAGUGAACCAGUACCGUGAGGGAAAGGCGAAAAGAACCCCGGCGAGGGGAGUGAAAAAGAACCUGAAACCGUGUACGUACAAGCAGUGGGAGCCCCACCACCAAAGCAUUCUCUGGUGUUGAAGGCCCUGCAAAGCAGCAUCGCGGUGGCGGAGCGUCGUUUGCGACGCCCAACACACAAAACAAGCGGUGAGUGCUUUGGGGUGGGGUGACUGCGUACCUUUUGUAUAAUGGGUCAGCGACUUAUAUUCUGUAGCAAGGUUAACCGUAUAGGGGAGCCGUAGGGAAACCGAGUCUUAACCGGGCGUUAAGUUGCAGGGUAUAGACCCGAAACCCGGUGAUCUAGCCAUGGGCAGGUUGAAGGUUGGGUAACACUAACUGGAGGACCGAACCGACUAAUGUUGAAAAAUUAGCGGAUGACCUGUGGCUGGGGGUGAAAGGCCAAUCAAACCGGGAGAUAGCUGGUUCUCCCCGAAAGCUAUUUAGGUAGCGCCUCGUGAAUUCAUCUCCGGGGGUAGAGCACUGUUUCGGCUAGGGGGCCAUCCCGGCUUACCAACCCGAUGCAAACUGCGAAUACCGGAGAAUGUUAUCACGGGAGACACACGGCGGGUGCUAACGUCCGUCGUGAAGAGGGAAACAACCCAGACCGCCAGCUAAGGUCCCAAAGUCAUGGUUAAGUGGGAAACGAUGUGGGAAGGCCCAGACAGCCAGGAUGUUGGCUUAGAAGCAGCCAUCAUUUAAAGAAAGCGUAAUAGCUCACUGGUCGAGUCGGCCUGCGCGGAAGAUGUAACGGGGCUAAACCAUGCACCGAAGCUGCGGCAGCGACGCUGAUGCGUUGUUGGGUAGGGGAGCGUUCUGUAAGCCUGUGAAGGUGGCCUGUGAGGGUUGCUGGAGGUAUCAGAAGUGCGAAUGCUGACAUAAGUAACGAUAAAGCGGGUGAAAAGCCCGCUCGCCGGAAGACCAAGGGUUCCUGUCCAACGUUAAUCGGGGCAGGGUGAGUCGACCCCUAAGGCGAGGCCGAAAGGCGUAGUCGAUGGGAAACGGGUUAAUAUUCCCGUACUUGGUGUUACUGCGAAGGGGGGACGGAGAAGGCUAUGUUGGCCGGGCGACGGUUGUCCCGGUUUAAGCGUGUAGGUGUGUGUUCCAGGUAAAUCCGGUUCACUUUAACACUGAGGCGUGAUGACGAGGCACUACGGUGCUGAAGCAACAAAUGCCCUGCUUCCAGGAAAAGCCUCUAAGCAUCAGGUAACAUCAAAUCGUACCCCAAACCGACACAGGUGGUCAGGUAGAGAAUACCAAGGCGCUUGAGAGAACUCGGGUGAAGGAACUAGGCAAAAUGGUGCCGUAACUUCGGGAGAAGGCACGCUGACACGUAGGUGAAGUGAUUUACUCACGGAGCUGAAGUCAGUCGAAGAUACCAGCUGGCUGCAACUGUUUAUUAAAAACACAGCACUGUGCAAACACGAAAGUGGACGUAUACGGUGUGACGCCUGCCCGGUGCCGGAAGGUUAAUUGAUGGGGUCAGCGCAAGCGAAGCUCCUGAUCGAAGCCCCGGUAAACGGCGGCCGUAACUAUAACGGUCCUAAGGUAGCGAAAUUCCUUGUCGGGUAAGUUCCGACCUGCACGAAUGGCGUAAUGAUGGCCAGGCUGUCUCCACCCGAGACUCAGUGAAAUUGAACUCGCUGUGAAGAUGCAGUGUACCCGCGGCAAGACGGAAAGACCCCGUGAACCUUUACUAUAGCUUGACACUGAACAUUGAGCCUUGAUGUGUAGGAUAGGUGGGAGGCUUUGAAGUGUGGACGCCAGUCUGCAUGGAGCCGACCUUGAAAUACCACCCUUUAAUGUUUGAUGUUCUAACGUGGACCCGUAAUCCGGGUUGCGGACAGUGUCUGGUGGGUAGUUUGACUGGGGCGGUCUCCUCCUAAAGAGUAACGGAGGAGCACGAAGGUUGGCUAAUCCUGGUCGGACAUCAGGAGGUUAGUGCAAUGGCAUAAGCCAGCUUGACUGCGAGCGUGACGGCGCGAGCAGGUGCGAAAGCAGGUCAUAGUGAUCCGGUGGUUCUGAAUGGAAGGGCCAUCGCUCAACGGAUAAAAGGUACUCCGGGGAUAACAGGCUGAUACCGCCCAAGAGUUCAUAUCGACGGCGGUGUUUGGCACCUCGAUGUCGGCUCAUCACAUCCUGGGGCUGAAGUAGGUCCCAAGGGUAUGGCUGUUCGCCAUUUAAAGUGGUACGCGAGCUGGGUUUAGAACGUCGUGAGACAGUUCGGUCCCUAUCUGCCGUGGGCGCUGGAGAACUGAGGGGGGCUGCUCCUAGUACGAGAGGACCGGAGUGGACGCAUCACUGGUGUUCGGGUUGUCAUGCCAAUGGCACUGCCCGGUAGCUAAAUGCGGAAGAGAUAAGUGCUGAAAGCAUCUAAGCACGAAACUUGCCCCGAGAUGAGUUCUCCCUGAGACUUAGAGUCUCCUGAAGGAACGUUGAAGACGACGACGUUGAUAGGCCGGGUGUGUAAGCGCAGCGAUGCGUUGAGCUAACCGGUACUAAUGAACCGUGAGGCUUAACCUU